rnacentral:lncRNA from 1 species
CGUGCGUCCCGGGGGUCAGCCGUCAGCGGGGGAAAGGAGGCAGCUCGGUGCCCAUCAGAAGCCUAGCAAGAGUCUCUCUGGAAACCACCGCAGCACUCAGAGGCAUCUCAAAUGAGAUUUAUGCACAGCGACGCAGGUAGAUCUAAAAACACAGUGUUAAGUGAAAGAAUUAAGCAGCAGAAUGAGAUCUAUAGCCCAAUACAAUUUAUGUAAAUUAAAACACAUUCACACGAUAAACACCAUAUAUUUUACAGGAAGCAUCCAUAUCUAAGGACAUAUAUUAGGGAUGUGAGCGUGGGCGCACAGGAUCAGGGAUACGGGAGAAAAUCGAACACAGUGAGACCAGAGUGAGGCUGUGCACGAACACGAAGCUCAGUUUAUCUGGAAGUUCUUCCUAAAGUCCGGUCAGAGGCAUGAUUGCUUUUGCAUUGGCCCAUUUCAGGUGCCAGCUUUUUGGUCUCACAGAGUUGCUGACCGUCUCUUGCUGACGUCAGGUUGGGAGCCGACGGUCCUUGCCCCUGUGAGAGGCCGACUCUGCCUGGGUCUGCCCGGCUUUCCCUGUCCCCUCUGGUGGCCCUUUGUAUCUUCCGGCAGCCCCAGAUGCCUGAUCCCUUUUCACAGGUGUCGCGACCAAGGCUCACCCAGCUGGGGUGGCAGGGCUUGUACUGAACUUGCCUCCAAAGCCUAUGCUUUUUUUUUGGUAAAAAGUCAGACUGUUUCAAAUCUGAAAACAACC